ACCUACUGUCUAGCGAACCUACAGCCAAGGGAACGGGCUUGGNUUGGUUAGCGGGGAAAGAAGACCCUGUUGAGUUUGACUCUAGUCUGGCGUUGUAGAAUAACGAAGGAGGUAUAGUAUAGGUGGGAGCUCCGGCGUCAAUGUAAUACCACUACUCCUUAUUGUUAUUCUACUAACUUCAUAAGAGAACGAGUGUAGUGAUACACUUUUCUGGUAAAAAGAAUUCGAGUUCAUGAUCGAUGGAGAACAUCGCCAGGUGGGGAGUUUGGCUGGGNCGGCACAUCUGUUAAAAGAUAACGCAGGUGUACAAAGGUCAUCACAACAAGGUCAGAAACCUUGUGUUGCGGAUAAGGCCAAUAGAUGGCUUGACUAAUACCUCCAGUAAAGGUAUUAGAUGCGAAAGCAUGUCCCAGCGAUCCUUUAGUUUCUGUGGCAACACAGGAUCUCAAAGUUUGAGGCUAGAGGUGUCAGAAAAAUUACCAUAGGGAUAACUGGCUUGUGGCCGCCAAGCGUUCAUAGCGACGUGGCUUUUUGAUCCUUCGAUGUCGGCUCUUCCUAUCAUUGCGAAGCAGAAUUCGCAAAGUGUUGGAUUGUUCACCCACUAACAGGGAACGUGAGCUGGGUUUAGACCGUCGUGAGACAGGUUAGUUUUACCCUACUAACCAAUUUCGGUGCCAGUAGUAAAUCUUAGUACGAGAGGAACAGCUUUGCCAUGCAUUUAGUUGCAGGUCCGUUUGAAAUGAUGUGGCUUUUCGCCACGCAUGUAGAUGUAUAACUGAAAGCCUCUAAGUUAUGAGUCUUACUGUGAUGCUGAGUUAGGUUCAGUCCCACUGAGUAAACAUAAAGAUUAUCUCUAUCUAGUGGUAGCCAAAAGGGAUUGGACCGUAUCAAAUAAGGAGACCACUUAUGACCCCUCUUUGAAGGGACCUACUGUCGUACCUGGGCGAGACAGGGCUUCUUGUCGACUCACUGACGCUCGUAAAGUCCCGAACCUGAUA
rnacentral:ncRNA from 1 species